UGAGUGAUCUCUUUUUCAUGUAUAAGGGGAAUCAGAAAGAGAUCUAAGAGUCUUGGAACUUAUGGGAUUACCCAGGAAAGAUCUCAGGUUGUACAAUAAAGAAAAAAAAAAAGCAAAAAAUAAAUAAAUAAAAAAUAAAACAAACAAAAAAAUUAAAAAGUGAAAGGAGGAGAAACCCAAGGGAGGCUUACUAUACGUAAAGGAUGGUAAGAGGGAAUAUGAAG
rnacentral:lncRNA from 1 species